CCGGAUUUAUUGGGUUUAAAGGGUGCGUAGGCGGCCUUGUAAGUCAGCGGUGAAAUUUUGCAGCUUAACUGUAAAAGUGCCGUUGAUACUGUGAGGCUAGGAUUUGGUUGCUGUGGGUGGAAUGUGUGGUGUAGCGGUGAAAUGCUUAGAGAUCACACAGAAUAUCGAUUGCGAAGGCAGCUCACAAAGCCAAGAUUGACGCUGAGGCACGAAAGUGUGGGGAUCAAACAGGAUUAGAUACCCUGGUAGUCCACACUGUAAACGAUGAUAACUCGCUGUCGGCGAUAUACAGUCGGUGGCCAAGCGAAAGCGAUAAGUUAUCCACCUGGGGAGUACGACCGCAAGGUUGAAACUCAAAGGAAUUGACGGGGGCCCGCACAAGCGGAGGAACAUGUGGUUUAAUUCGAUGAUACGCGAGGAACCUUACCCGGGCUCGAACGGUGCAGGAAUAUGGUAGAGAUAUCAUAGCUAGCAAUAGUCUGUAUCGAGGUGCUGCAUGGUUGUCGUCAGCUCGUGCCGUGAGGUGUCGGCUUAAGUGCCAUAACGAGCGCAACCCUUGUCAUUAGUUACCAUCAGGUCAAGCUGGGGACUCUAAUGAGACUGCCACCGUAAGGUGAGAGGAAGGGGGGGAUGACGUCAAAUCAGCACGGCCCUUAUGUCCGGGCGACACACGUGUUGCAAUGGGGGGUACAGAGGGUAGCCAUCCGGCGACGGAGCGCCAAUCUCAAAAACCCUUCUCAGUUCGGAUUGGAGUCUGCAACCCGACUCCAUGAAGUUGGAUUCGCUAGUAAUCGCGCAUCAG
rnacentral:rRNA from 1 species